AGGUAAAGGGCCCCUGUUUCGGCAGGUUAAGGCUCUUGAGAGUGAGUUGAGAGUUUGUAUAUUUUUUUAAAUAUUACUAAGCAUAUCAAUACCUUGAAAGCUUUUGAAUAAGUUAUAUUAGUUCUUUGUUAAUAAUUUAAUGUAUAAACUGUAGGGUUUUAGUUGAAACUUUUUUUAUAUGAAUUUUUUCGUGAACCUCUUAUUUGGCUCCCAUUUCGUGAUACAAAUUUAGGUCAGCUCCUAAGUUCGUGUAUUCGUGUCCCCUGUUUCGGAAUAAAGUUUUCUUAGAGUAAUUGAGUAAUUGGUGAUAAUUUGCGGAUAAUCAUUUUAAAUAUUUAACGGUCUCACCUACUUACGAAUAAUUGUAA